AGAUUGACUCUCCCUAGCAACAAGAGUAUUUACAUUCAUCCUCCCUGGGAUUCCAGCCAGUGUAGUAUUGACUGCACAUAGAACACAAAAACGGUGGAAUGAGUCAACAAGAUGAGGACGGUUGUGGGGACCAUGAUAUCCUGAAAUAUCUAAGAGAUGCUGAAAUCUGGAAGAAACCCACCUUAACCAGCUGUGGUAAUGGGGUGUGUGGGGAAAUGAAUUUUACCACCCAUAUACUCCGAAGAAAUUACAAAACCCCAUAAGGCAUGAUGAAAUAAAACUGGAGAAGUAGCAGUCUAAUGUGUAAAAAUCUUUCUUGAUUAUUCAUUCAUCACUGUCAUAUCAGAGCAGGAGCUUCUGAAACCAUGCAUUGGCCUCUCCUUCUCAUCAGGAGACAAUAAUCUUACAGGUAGCUGAGUUCUUCCUCUUCCUCUGCUCCUGGAGUUACCUAAGCCCACAUAUGCGUGAAGUCUCCACACUCUUCUGGAAUUUUUGCCUCUGGGAUUGCCAGGAACCCCUCAGACAGCCUUAAAAUAAAGCUGAGGCUUUGAGGCAUCAUCAUGAGAGGCCUUGAGCUUUGUGAUAAGCUGCCUCAGAACACCCAGGAGAGCAUUUAGCUAUUAAAGGCAAGACAUUCAAGUAAUUGAAAAUUGAUCAAAAUGAAGUAAUUCUCUACUCAGAGUAAGCCUAGGCUGCAUAAGACAAGGAGGCAGAGGACAUGUCCCUAGGAACCCUAGUCUAGCAAGAGAUAUUGUGUUGACACUGAGA